AGUGAACGCUGGCGGUAGGCCUAACACAUGCAAGUCGAACGGCAGCACAGUAAGAGCUUGCUCUUACGGGUGGCGAGUGGCGGACGGGUGAGGAAUACAUCGGAAUCUACUUUUUCGUGGGGGAUAACGUAGGGAAACUUACGCUAAUACCGCAUACGACCUACGGGUGAAAGCAGGGGAUCUUCGGACCUUGCGCGAUUGAAUGAGCCGAUGUCGGAUUAGCUAGUUGGCGGGGUAAAGGCCCACCAAGGCGACGAUCCGUAGCUGGUCUGAGAGGAUGAUCAGCCACACUGGAACUGAGAUACGGUCCAGACUCCCACGGGAGGCAGCAGUGGGGAAUAUUGGACAAUGGGCGCAAGCCUGAUCCAGCCAUACCGCGUGGGUGAAGAAGGCCUUCGGGUUGUAAAGCCCUUUUGUUGGGAAAGAAAAGCAGCAGGUUAAUACCCCGCUGUUCUGACGGUACCCAAAGAAUAAGCACCGGCUAACUUCGUG
rnacentral:rRNA from 1 species